CCUACGGGAGGCAGCAGUGAGGAAUAUUGGGCAAUGGGCGAAAGCCUGACCCAGCCAAGUAGCGUGAGGGAUGACUGCCCUACGGGUUGUAAACUUCUUUUAUAGAGGAAUCAGGUGCGUCACUUGUGCCUUUUUGUAUUUACUUUAUGAAUAAGGAUCGGCUAACUCCUUGCCGUCAGCCGCGGUAAUACGGUGUAUGCGAGCGUUAUCCGGAUUUAUUGGGUUUAAAGGGAGCGUAGCUGGGUGGUUAAGUCAGUUGUGAAAGUUUGCGGCUCAACCGUAAAAUUGCAAUUGAUACUGGCAGACUGGAGUAUAGUUGAGGUAGGUGGAAUUCGAGGUGUAGCGGUGAAAUGCUGAGAUAUCACGAAGAACUCCGAUGGCGAAGGCAGCUUACUAAACUGUAACUGACAUUGAUGAGCGAAAGUGUGGGUAUCAAACAGGAUUAGAUACCCGAGUAGUC
rnacentral:rRNA from 1 species